rnacentral:sRNA from 1 species
GACUUAGUCCUCGGGAAGAAGUUUCAGACUACAAGGAGAACUCCAUCUAGAACAAAAUGUGCAUUCAGCAAGGUAUCACUGGAACAUUUCAAGAUCAUCAAAUCAAAUUCCACAGGGAUUGGUGAUCAACCAGAAGGCUCAGACAUCUGAUUGCUGACCUGUCCAGACAUCAACUGGUCUCCCUGAACCUGAAAUCACACCAUGGAUGAUUUUGAACGUCGCAGAGAACUUAGAAGGCAAAAGAGGGAGGAGAUGCGACUCGAAGCAGAAAGGUAAGGAUCUAGGGUGAAAAAUACUUGUAAUCCCUUAUUAACAACGUUGGUUUCAGGCCUCAAAGACCAUCCUUCUGAAAGGCCAAAUAUGGUCAUAUUGCACACUAAACUGUUUGCAAAAGUAGUUAUGGAAAAUUUUUCUGCUAAGACUCUAAAUUUAGCAUUUAAAAA